GAAAGCUGAAGGAUUUUGAAGGAAAUGGAAUUCUAGAGGAGGUCUUGGAGGAGAAAGGAUUAAUGAGUCUAGGUGAGCAUUUCUGUGCUCUGCGCACCUAUGGGAAGAACAAAGCACAAUCAGUAAGAGGGACGAAGUAGAGAGGAAGUUUAUAUGAGGGAAAAGGAAACAGUGAUUGUUAAAGAUCAAUUUAAGCUACCCUACCAUUUUGCCUAUGCUUUCUCUACUAAAACUGAGAGCUUGAGGGAGGAAGGGAGGGAGGGUCUGGGAUUGUAACCGCCUACUGGCCGGUGGGGGCAGUAGGGAGCUGCCUAUAGGAGCAGAGCUAUAGCAGGCUGGGUAACCAGAUGCCUAGUCUGGGGGAGAACAUCAUGAUGUCUUCAGCCUGGAAGUUAGGAUUCAGAGUUAGGGCGUCCUAUUGAAGAGGUGGCUACUUAAAGGCACUCAGUGGCUUCUUAGGACAGAAAAUCCUGACCCUGUAGUUGGGUGGAGCCCAACGGGUACUACUUCUGGCCAAUGAGUUGUGAGGGAGAAAUAAAGCAUGAAAGAUCCUGGCUGGCAAAUUGAAUUGCUGACACAAGAUCCUCCAAAGCUCCUUACUUCUGCCACUCCCAUUGGCUGAACCCAACUGGAGGUCUUAGAUGCAAAAGCAGCCUCGAAGACACAGAGCAAUAUUCCAGAGGGUGGGCCUUCAGCCUAAAUCCAGUAUAAGGACGAUCCAGAACAAAGAACCAGCUUGAUUCACAACAGACACCUAAUAUGAGUGAGAAAUUAUCCUAUAAUACUUUCCCUGAUAUUUAGGAGAUAGUCUGGCACUGCAGCAAAAGUUAGUUUUUCCUGAUUCAUACAAAGUGUGUUUUAGCUCAUAACAAACUCUUUGAAACCUGUACAAUCAGGGGAAAUGAAUAUAAUAUGACUGGGAAAUUACAAAUGAAAUUUGCAAGAGAUGGGCAUUGAUUUAUCCAAGCAAAAUUGAUUUAUUCAUCCUUUUAGUGUUUUCUGGGAUAAGAAUUAAAGGUAUUUCCUGAGGUGAUAACUAUUCUUGUUAGACUUCAAAAGAUGCCAUGGAAAUGACUAGUGAGAAAGAUGAACAAGCAAAUGGAUUAGAAUAUACUGUGCAAGAUUAGAACUGUACUAAAGAUAAACCUGCUUACUAUGUUGGAAGUAAGGGAGAGGGAAUGCUAAGAAUGUGUGGUCAAGGCAUCUUGACUUCUGCUAUUACAAAUACACUCCAUCAUGACUGACGAGCAAGAGGAAACAGUGAGGAUACAAAGUGAAGACAGCCAUCUGCAAACCAGGAAGAGGACUCUCACCAGGCACUGUGUUUUCCCACACCUUGGUCUUGGACUUCCAGCUUCUAGAACUGUGAGAAAAUAAAUUUUUGCCCCCAGUCUAUGGUAAUUUGUUAGAGCUGCCCGAU
rnacentral:lncRNA from 1 species